GAUGAACGCUGGCGGCGUGCCUAACACAUGCAAGUCGAGCGAAGCACUUACUUUAGAUUUCUUCGGAAUGACGAAGUUUGUGACUGAGCGGCGGACGGGUGAGUAACGCGUGGGCAACCUGCCCUGUACAGGGGGAUAACAGUUAGAAAUGACUGCUAAUACCGCAUAAGCCCACAGCUUCGCAUGAAGCAGUGGGAAAAACUCCGGUGGUACAGGAUGGGCCCGCGUCUGAUUAGCUAGUUGGUAAGGUAACGGCUUACCAAGGCGACGAUCAGUAGCCGACCUGAGAGGGUGACCGGCCACAUUGGGACUGAGACACGGCCCAAACUCCUACGGGAGGCAGCAGUGGGGAAUAUUGCACAAUGGGGGAAACCCUGAUGCAGCGACGCCGCGUGAGCGAUGAAGUAUUUCGGAAUGUAAAGCUCUAUCAGCAGGGAAGAAAGUGACGGUACCUGACUAAGAAGCCCCGGCUAACUACGUG
rnacentral:rRNA from 1 species